AAAGUUUGGCCGGCCUGGCAAAAGAGGGAGAGGCGCUGAUCGCUGCUGCUUUUGCCGACGGGGCGAAGGGUGCCGGCGAGAGGGUAGUAAUGGACGAGGGCCGAGGAGAGGGAAUUGGCGAUGACGUCAAAGGGGUGGCGGUCGAUGUCGGCGCUGGCGGUGUAAACGCGGAUGUAGCGGAAGGUGAAGGAGCGGAUGUUGGGGUCGUUGUCGAGGUGGGAGAGAGGGAGCUCGUGUUCCCCCUCAUCUUUGAAGGGUGGUGUUGAGGGCAGUAUUUGCUUUGUUUCUAUGAUUUUUACUUCCAUUCUCUCCUUAUGCUGGCUUUCGAUUCG
rnacentral:lncRNA from 1 species